AUUGAACGCUGGCGGCAGGCCUAACACAUGCAAGUCGAACGAGCGGCGGACGGGUGAGUAAUGUAUGGGGAACUGCCCGAUGGAGGGGGAUAACUACUGGAAACGGUAGCUAAUACCGCAUACUAUCGGAUGAACCCAUAUGGGAUUAGGUAGUUGGUGGGGUAACGGCUCACCAAGGCGACGAUCGCUAGCUGGUCUGAGAGGAUGAACAGCAACGCUGGAACGGAGACACGGCCCAUACUCCUACGGGAGGCAGCAGUGGGGAAUAUUGCACAAUGGGCGCAAGCCGGAUGCAGCCAUGCGGCGUGGAUGAAGAAGGCCUUAGGGUGGUAAAGUACUUUCAGCGGGGAGGCGUUACCCGCAGAAGAAGCACCGGCUAACUCCGUGCCAGCAGCCGCGGUAAUUC
rnacentral:rRNA from 1 species